UGCUCUCACUCCAGUGGCGAAGGAGCUGCUCAGGGACCACCGCAGCCAUUAAUAGCAGGCUCGUAGCUUUCAGUUUCAAGAACAUCGGUCUGCUCAGAUUCGUAUGAUCGAAGAGAGUCUCUGAUUUGCUGGUGUUCUUGGUGAUUACAUCUGUGGCUGGAGGAUUUUGCUGUAUUCGUUCUUGGUGCAAAAUCCCUUGGACUUUGCCUGUCGAAGCCCUAGGUAUAGCCAUUCGGAUUGGUAGGGUCCUUGAUGUGGUGAAGCAGUUGGAAAACACCUAAGCUUGUAUGGACAAAAGGUAGGUCUAGAUGCACGAGGAACUAAAAUCUGUGUAAGUGACAUAGAAUGAAUUGACCAAAAAAAAUGUAGAUACUCCUCAUGAGGAUGGAGGACAAGGUAAGGAUGAGGAACACGAAGAAGAGUUGGGAAGACAUGAAGAUGAUGAUGAUGAGGGAGAUGAAGAAGAGUUGGGAACGGAAGAUGUUGAAGACGGAGAUGAAUUUUUUAAGGAGCCUUGACCUUGGCCUUUUCAUUGUUUUUAUAGUUGAAUAUGUUGACGGGUUUUGUGGUUGUCCCAAUUUGUUUAUGAACAUUUUUUUCUUA